UACGGAGGGAGCUAGCGUUAUUCGGAAUUACUGGGCGUAAAGCGCACGUAGGCGGCUUUGUAAGUUAGAGGUGAAAGCCUGGAGCUCAACUCCAGAACUGCCUUUAAGACUGCAUCGCUUGAAUCCAGGAGAGGUGAGUGGAAUUCCGAGUGUAGAGGUGAAAUUCGUAGAUAUUCGGAAGAACACCAGUGGCGAAGGCGGCUCACUGGACUGGUAUUGACGCUGAG
rnacentral:rRNA from 1 species